GACGAACGCUGGCGGCGUGCUUAACACAUGCAAGUCGAACGGAAAGGCCCUGCUUUUGUGGGGUGCUCGAGUGGCGAACGGGUGAGUAACACGUGAGUAACCUGCCCUUGACUUUGGGAUAACUUCAGGAAACUGGGGCUAAUACCGGAUAGGAGCUCCUGCUGCAUGGUGGGGGUUGGAAAGUUUCGGCGGUUGGGGAUGGACUCGCGGCUUAUCAGCUUGUUGGUGGGGUAGUGGCUUACCAAGGCUUUGACGGGUAGCCGGCCUGAGAGGGUGACCGGCCAAGUGGGACUGGGAAUACGGCCCGGCCCACACCGGGAGGCGGCGGGGGAGAAUGGUGCAAAGGGGGCGGAGCCCGAGGCCAGCACCGCGGGGGGGGGUGUGUCGGCCUGGGGUUAGUAUCCCACUUCCCCUUGAGCCGAGGCGUGAGUGACGUUAGUGGGAAAAGAAGCCCCGGCUAACUCCGUG
rnacentral:rRNA from 1 species